CUAGCAGUACAAAAACGCAGACCACCUCCUUGUUUCUUACUCUCCUUCUCUUUCACGUUUCUUUUUCCUUGGCUGCAGUAAACAGCACCCUUUCUCCUUCUUUGCCGUGACCAUACAUGUUCUUCUUCUCCUUUCCACCAUGAAAACCAUCACCACAAAAAAUGUUCUUGUUCUGGUCCUCCUUCUUCACGCAAGAAAGCCACCACAUGGCAACCACUACGUUCCUCUUCUUUCUCUCCGUGGCCACCACGAGAAGGCCAACACCACAAGGAACACGUACAGCCCCAUUUAUCAUAUGGUAUUGUUCAAGUUUCAUCAUCCAUAUCAUGACAAGGAGACACGAUUGCCAUGCCACUUUACUUCCUCAUGUGGGUACGGAGGACGAAAGCGCCUUGCGGCGAAGCUAAAGAAUAGAAGCAAGCAAGCCAACGCAGAAAAUAGAGAUGUGAUCAGAUCGGAGUUGCAGCUUGGAUGGAGAAAUCAAAGGCGAUGGAGGACUUGACGUAGUUGACCCCGGUGCGAGUCAGAGAUGAGGACUUGAAGAAUUGUGGAAGACUUGAAGAGUAGAGUCGGGUUUAGGGCUAGAGCCUUGGGUUAGAGAGAUUAUUGUUAUUGGUUUAAGCUUGCAUAAUGAUUUUUAGGAAUUUAUAUUGAGUUUUCGGGUAGUUUUCGAUGCAUUGCUUUCCUGCGGUUCCCCGAUGUGGAGAUCGUAGGGUGUAGGUCGGAUUAUGGUGUCAUGGCAUAACAGAUUCCUUGUCGGAUCUGAUUCUAUUCGUUAGAUUUGUAGUUGUGUUAUUUAGUUCAUAAAUUGGGGAACUUGCCUUGUUCAAGGCUUGAUGUAAAUUUGAUUUACUGUUGGGAGUAGGCAUUACAUGUUUUGGAAAUACUUUGAAAACAGAAAAAAAAAAAAAAAUAUACUUGCUUUUAUUAUC